CCAAAAGGCUCCCCCGGAUGUCCUCCUUGCGGGUCCUGGACAUACAGUGCAACAAGAUCACGGCCGGCGGAGCCCAGCAUUUCACGGAGAGCAUCAGAAGGUGCCCCCACAUCCAGAGAGUGAGGUUGUGGAACCCGGCCAUUCCCCACGGGGUCCUCGAUCAUCUGCAGCAGCUGGAUUCUCGCAUCAGGCUGCUUUAGACCCAUCGCAUCCAGAAACCCAUCCAAAAUGGACGAAGAACCGACUGUUUUUAUUCUGGCACACGAUAAAGUUUUCGUGUGAAGACAUAAUUCAGCAAGGCUUCUCUCCUGACCUCCCAUAAUCCUGGUACUUGAAGACCACCUUGAGAACCUAAUUCAGAUGGUAUGGAGAAAAAACCACCCCCUCUCCACUCCCUUGAGCUUUCAGAGGGAAUCUGGGACCCUUCUCGCUCCACACCGCCUUACAAAGAUGAACAAAUGCUGCUGUCAUAUUGUGUAAUUUUGUAUGUGUAUAUAUAUAUAUAUAUAUAAAACAUCUGAGCUACAAAAAAAUGAAAAAUAAAGUCCUGGCCUGCUAC